GGUCCAGAACCUGCAGACAUUGCCGCCACCGACUCUAAUUUUGGGAAUUAUUGCCAUCUAGUGGUGGAGCCAGGUUCAGUUGAGGCGAUCAAUGGAAAGCUGUAGACGUUUGCCCAAGAACCAAUCAAGAAGUUGUUACCCGGCUGAGUAUGAUUGCACACGCAUAACUGGUCCUGGUUGAAAAACCAAUCAAAAGUCUGUCACCGGGCAAAACUGGCCUGGUCUCACACCUAUGCAGAAAAAGCAACAUCUUCCACAGUCAUUUGGUUUAAAGCAGUAAUGUUCUCCAUUUCCUAGUCCACACUCCAAAAAAUAAGAGUUGGCUUUACAGGAUUAAAUUGCCC